AUACGGAGGGUGCAAGCGUUAUUCGGAAUCACUGGGCGUAAAGGACGCGUAGGCGGGUUGGCAAGUCGGAUGUGAAAUCCUACAGCUUAACUGUAGAACUGCAUUUGAAACUGCUAACCUAGAGUAUGGGAGGGGGAGAUGGAAUUAGUGGUGUAGGGGUAAAAUCCGUAGAUAUCACUAGGAAUACCGAAAGCGAAGGCGAUCUCCUGGAACAUAACUGACGCUAAGGCGUGAAAGCGUGGGGAGCAAACAGGAUUAGAAACCCCAGUAGUCC
rnacentral:rRNA from 1 species